CCUACGAGUGGCAGCAGUGGGGAAUAUUGCACAAUGGGGGAAACCCUGAUGCAGCGACGCCGCGUGAGUGAAGAAGUAUCUCGGUACGUAAAGCUCUAUCAGCAGGGAAGCUAAUGACGGUACCUGACCAAGAAGCCCCGGCUAACUACGUGCAACCAGCCGCGGGAAUACGUCGGGGGCGAGCGUUAUCCGGAUUUACUGGGUGUAAAGGGAGCGUAGGCGGCAGCACAAGUCUGGAGUGAAAGCCCGGGGCUUAACCCCGGAACUGCUUUGGAAACUGGGCGGCUGGAGUGCAGGAGGGGUAAGCGGAAUUCCUAGUGUAGCGGUGAAAUGCGUAGAUAUGAGGAGGAACACCGGUGGCGAAGGCGGCAUACUGGACUGUAACUGACGUUGAGGCUCGAAAGCGUGGGGAGCAAACAGGAUGAGAUACCCCUGUAGUC
rnacentral:rRNA from 1 species